CAGUAACUAAACAUACUCCUUAUACAAUCAAUGAAUGUACUAAAUUCCUGGGAUUUAUUGCAAUCUCUUAUGAAUGAUUUUCACUGAAUACCUUUAUAUUUUCUUGCACUGGCUUACAAGAAAAAAAAAAAAGACUAGAAGAAGAAAUUAAGAAAAGGCAGUUGCUUCACAGAAGCGUAAGCUUUCCUGUUUACCGCAAGGCCGGGGCGGGCUUGGCUGCCCACACCCCUCGGACCCUGAGCACAACCUGUUCCUAGAGAGUUAUUAAUAGACCCCAAAGAAUGGACUUACUCUGUCAAAUGAUUUUCGUGCAAAUCUAAUGUCUUGCAAGGCAAUUAGGAGGUGGUUCUCAGCUCUUUUAGCUGGGUGGUGGUGGCAAGCAGAGGUGGUGUGCGUCUCCACCCUCAUAUUAGGGGUUGGGUCUCUUCCGAGGUGAGACCAAGACCCAAGACCAAGGUGAACCCGCUGCUGCUGUUUCCGAGGCCCUCUCCAACCAAGGCAAAGAGACACAAAAAGCCUGGAACUCUCGGACAGAACCACCUCCCGCCGCAAGUGAAGGCUCGCUCGGCCUCGCCCUCUAGCGUUCUUCUGGAGAAGCGCCACCCCCGGAU
rnacentral:lncRNA from 1 species